AUUGAAUUCCUCCUUAUCAUGCAAGCUAUUCGCUUAGAGCAGACAACUACUAAAUAAUAUCCACACUUAAGAAGCCACAACUAAGGGGUUUUUCAAAAAGUUAAAUUCCAAAAACUAAACUAAUAUAGAUAAAUGUGUCACAAGAAAAAUCAAAACAUGACAUAACAAAGCCUCAAUGAGAAAAAAACGACAACUAUGAAUGGCCAAAGAUGAUAACUAACUCCAAUAACAAAAGAGGCAAGGAAUCUUCCUUUUAACACUCAACCUUUGGGUUUGGUAGAACUUAGUUUCAGAAAUUAAACCUAAGAAAUUAAUCCAUCAAGCAAUAAAGUUGAACCA
rnacentral:lncRNA from 1 species